UACGGAAGGCAGCAGUGGGGAAUAUUGGACAAUGGGCGGAAGCCUGAUCCAGCCAUGCCGCGUGUGUGAAGAAGGCCUUUUGGUUGUAAAGCACUUUAAGCGAGGAGGAGGCUCUCCUAGUUAAUACCUAGGAAGAGUGGACGUUACUCGCAGAAUAAGCACCGGCUAACUCUGUGCCAGCAGCCGCGGUAAUACAGAGGGUGCGAGCGUUAAUCGGAUUUACUGGGCGUAAAGCGUGCGUAGGCGGCUGAUUAAGUCGGAUGUGAAAUCCCCUGAGCUUAACUUAGGAAUUGCAUUCGAUACUGGUCAGCUAGAGUAUGGGAGAGGAUGGUAGAAUUCCAGGUGUAGCGGUGAAAUGCGUAGAGAUCUGGAGGAAUACCGAUGGCGAAGGCAGCCAUCUGGGCCUAAUACUGACGCUGAGGUACGAAAGCAUGGGGAAGCAAACAAGGAAUUAAGAAUAACC
rnacentral:rRNA from 1 species